CAGUCGCCGCGGGAAUACGGAGGGUGCAAGCGUUAAUCGGAAUUACUGGGCGUAAAGCGCACGCAGGCGGUCUGACAAGUCAGAUGUGAAAUCCCCGGGCUUAACCUGGGAACUGCAUUUGAAACUGUCAGGCUGGAGUCUUGUAGAGGGGGGUGGAAUUCCAGGUGUAGCGGUGAAAUGCGUAGAGAUCUGGAGGAAUACCGGUGGCGAAGGCGGCCCCCUGGACAAAGACUGACGCUCAGGUGCGAAAGCGUGGGGAGCAAACAGGAUUAGAUACCCUGUAGUCCCUGUCUCUUAUACC
rnacentral:rRNA from 1 species